rnacentral:lncRNA from 10 species
AAACCACACAGCUCCCAUGGCAGGCUUUUCCUCUCCUUCUGCGCCUCAGAAGCUCAGGAUGAUCUGUCCCAGACCACAUUAAGCCAAUCAGAUCUGGAGCCUGAGCACUGGCCCGGCGUCUUCCUCGCUUGCGCCCAGUGGCCGCAGGCCGACCCCCUCGGCGGCCCUGAUUUACGCAUCUAAGUAUCAGGACAGCCUUGCUAUGCUGAUUUUGGAGUCUGGCAGCAUUUCCUGAAACGAAAUGGUGGUUGGGCUAAGGCCUGGCAGCGACCUCCCGGUGACACGAGCUCAUGAAUACGCGGAGGUGGAGUCUUUCUAUGUUGCCCAGGCUGGUCUCAAACUUCUGACUUCAAGUGAUCCUCCUGCGUUGGCCUCCCGAAGUGCUGGGAUUACAGUCGUAAACCACCACUCCUGGAUUAUCCUUUACUAAUUUCAUUCAUAGAUGAGAGAUUGGGAGAAGAAAGAGGAAACUGCCACUUAUUUUCCACAUAAGUGUCAUCUUCAAGGUGGAGCGAAAGAUGACAUUGCUGGUGAGAUGUUCAGCACUCUUUGGUCACGUUGGAAAAAAAUUGUAUUCGGUUGUCAGAGAUGAAGAAUUGUUAAAAACAAAAUCUUUUUUAUUCCUCCUAAAGACAUUACAGCUCACAAAAUCUCUGAUAGCUUCCUGUAGCAUGUAUUUUACUAUUCAAGGAGACAAUUGAAUGGGUUUAUUUCUUCUUAUGUUACAUCUCAGCUUUAAUAAGUAAUGUCUGGCUGGGUGCGGCGGCUCAUGCCUGUAAUCCCGGCACUUUGGGAGGCAGAGGCGGGAAGAUCACCAGAGGUCCGGAGUUCAAGACUAGCCUGGCCAACAUGGUGAAACCCCGUUUCUACUAAAAAUACAAAAAUAAAAUUAAAAUAAAAAUAGGUGAUGUCUUUGAGCUAAUUUAUGCUCUCCAUACCUUAUGAUCAUCUAGCUGUGUGUUGGCAAGUCCAGGAUGGUGGCUUUUGACGAACUGUGCUUUAAGGCAAACCAUGGAGUAGAGAAAGAUGGACAGCAGAGGAUUUGGGGCUUUAAUGGGCACACAGCCUGCUUAGGAGGAAGCUCAUUAGUCUGGAGCUCCUGCCCCUUGUCUUUGUGAAGCCAUUACUGGUCCCCUGGUAUGCUGCUCAUAGGCAAGGCAAAAGAAAUUUAUAGGAAUCAAAGCUUAUAGAAACAGCAACAACUUUAAGAGUCAGUUUGUUUAACCAAAUUAAAAUUGUUCUUUUUUUCUUC